rnacentral:lncRNA from 1 species
GUUUUAGCCUAUGUAUACUCCACCCUGAAAAACAAACGGGGCCUUGCUAUGAAGAGAGCAUGAGCCUGGAACCAAAAGGUUCUGCAGCCACUGAGAAGACAACUUAAAGAAAUUGAAACCUGUGCAACAACAGGAAGCGCUAAGAAGUUUCCAUGUCUGCUUGAGUCUAGAACCAACACCUACAAAUAUCUCCAACCCAAGUCUAUCCUCUCAAGAAUUAGCUGCUGCUCUAUUAAUUCC